GAGGGUGAAGCACUUUGCUGCGUAAGCCCACGCCGGUCGAAGAUACCAGGCCGCUGCGACUGUUUAUUAAAAACACAGCACUCUGCAAACACGAAAGUGGACGUAUAGGGUGUGACGCCUGCCCGGUGCCGGAAGGUUAAUUGAUGGGGUUAGCUAACGCGAAGCUCUUGAUCGAAGCCCCGGUAAACGGCGGCCGUAACUAUAACGGUCCUAAGGUAGCGAAAUUCCUUGUCGGGUAAGUUCCGACCUGCACGAAUGGCGUAACGAUGGCGGCGCUGUCUCCACCCGAGACUCAGUGAAAUUGAAAUCGCUGUGAAGAUGCAGUGUAUCCGCGGCUAGACGGAAAGACCCCGUGAACCUUUACUAUAGCUUUGCACUGGACUUUGAAUUUGCUUGUGUAGGAUAGGUGGGAGGCUUUGAAGCGUGGACGCCAGUCUGCGUGGAGCCAUCCUUGAAAUACCACCCUGGCAACUUUGAGGUUCUAACUCAGGUCCGUUAUCCGGAUCGAGGACAGUGUAUGGUGGGUAGUUUGACUGGGGCGGUCUCCUCCUAAAGAGUAACGGAGGAGUACGAAGGUGCGCUCAGACCGGUCGGAAAUCGGUCGUAGAGUAUAAAGGCAAAAGCGCGCUUGACUGCGAGACAGACACGUCGAGCAGGUACGAAAGUAGGUCUUAGUGAUCCGGUGGUUCUGUAUGGAAGGGCCAUCGCUCAACGGAUAAAAGGUACUCCGGGGAUAACAGGCUGAUACCGCCCAAGAGUUCAUAUCGACGGCGGUGUUUGGCACCUCGAUGUCGGCUCAUCACAUCCUGGGCUGAAGCCGGUCCCAAGGGUAUGGCUGUUCGCCAUUUAAAGUGGUACGCGAGCUGGGUUUAGAACGUCGUGAGACAGUUCGGUCCCUAUCUGCCGUGGACGUUUGAGAUUUGAGAGGGGCUGCUCCUAGUACGAGAGGACCGGAGUGGACGAACCUCUGGUGUUCCGGUUGUCACGCCAGUGGCAUUGCCGGGUAGCUAUGUUCGGAAAAGAUAACCGCUGAAAGCAUCUAAGCGGGAAACUUGCCUCAAGAUGAGAUCUCACUGGGACCUUGAGUCCCCUGAAGGGCCGUCGAAGACUACGACGUUGAUAGGCAGGGUGUGUAAGCGCUGUGAGGCGUUGAGCUAACCUGUACUAAUUGCCCGUGAGGCUUGACCAU
rnacentral:rRNA from 1 species